UACGGAGGGUGCGAGCGUUGCUCGGAAUCACUGGGCGUAAAGCGUACGCAGGCUGUCUCGUAAGUCGGGUGUGAAAGCCCGGGGCUCAACCCCGGAAUUGCGCCCGAGACUGCGGGGCUUGAAUGCGGGAGAGGGAAGCGGAAUUCCUGGUGUAGAGGUGAAAUUCGUAGAUAUCAGGAGGAACACCGGUGGCGAAGGCGGGUCUCUGGGCCGAUACUGACGCUGAGGAGCGAAAGCGUGGGGGAGCAAAACAGG
rnacentral:rRNA from 1 species